UACGUAGGGUGCGAGCGUUAAUCGGAAUUACUGGGCGUAAAGCGUGCGCAGGCGGUUGUGCAAGACAGAUGUGAAAUCCCCCGGGCUUAACCUGGGAAUUGCAUUUGUGACUGCACGGCUAGAGUGCGUCAGAGGGGGGUAGAAUUCCACGUGUAGCAGUGAAAUGCGUAGAUAUGUGGAGGAAUACCGAUGGCGAAGGCAGCCCCCUGGGAUGACACUGACGCUCAUGCACGAAAGCGUGGGGAGCGAACAGG
rnacentral:rRNA from 1 species